UACGGGGGGAGCAAGCGUUGUUCGGAUUUACUGGGCGUAAAGGGCGCGUAGGCGGCGCAACAAGUCACUUGUGAAAUCUCCGGGCUUAACUCGGAGCGGUCAAGUGAUACUGUCGUGCUAGAGUGCAGAAGGGGCAACUGGAAUUCUCGGUGUAGCGGUGAAAUGCGUAGAUAUCGAGAGGAACACCUGCGGCGAAGGCGGGUUGGUGGGCUGACACUGACGCUGAGGAGCGAAAGCAUGGGGAGCGAACAGG
rnacentral:rRNA from 1 species